rnacentral:rRNA from 1 species
AGAGUUUGAUCAUGGCUCAGGAUCAACGCUGGCGGCGUGCCUAAUGCAUGCAAGUCGAGCGCGGACCCCUUCGGGGGUGCUGCGCGGCGGACGGGUGCGUAACACGUGGGCAACCUGCCCUGGGGUGGGGGAUAGCCGUGGGAAACCGCGGGUAAUUCCGCAUACGGUGCUUCUCCAGCCGGGAGGAGUACGAAAGACGCUUCGGCGUCGCCCUUGGAGGGGCCUGCGGCCGAUUAGCUUGUUGGUGGGGUAACGGCCUACCAAGGCAACGAUCAGUAUCCGGCCUGAGAGGGCGGACGGACACACUGGGACUGAGACACGGCCCAGACUCCUACGGGAGGCAGCAGUGGGGAAUUGUUCGCAAUGGGCGCAAGCCUGACGACGCAACGCCGCGUGGAGGAUGAAGAUUUUCGGAUCGUAAACUCCUGUCGAAUGGGACGAACAGAUUGCGGGUUAACAGCCCGUAGUCCUGACGGUACCGUUAAAGGAAACCCCGGCUAACUCCGUGCCAGCAGCCGCGGUAAUACGGGGGGGGUAAGCGUUGUUCGGAAUUACUGGGCGUAAAGGGCUCGUAGGCGGCCAACUAAGUCAUACGUGAAAUCCCUCAGCUUAACUGGGGAACUGCGUGUGAUACUGGAUGGCUUGGAUUUGGGAGAGGGAUGCGGAAUUCCAGGUGUAGCGGUGAAAUGCGUAGAUAUCUGGAGGAACACCGGUGGCGAAGGCGGCAUCCUGGACCAAUAUUGACGCUGAGGAGCGAAAGCUAGGGGAGCAAACGGGAUUAGAUACCCCCGUAGUCC